UACGGAGGGUGCGAGCGUUGUCCGGAAUCACUGGGCGUAAAGGGCGCGUAGGUGGCUCGUGAAGCGUGCGGUGAAAGUCCGAGGCUCAACCUCGGAUCGGCCGUGCGGACUCGCGGGCUCGAGCGUUGUAGAGGCGGGUGGAAUUCCGGGUGUAGCGGUGGAAUGCGUAGAGAUCCGGAAGAACACCGGUGGCGAAGGCGGCCUGCUGGGCAGUUGCUGACACUGAGGCGCGACAGCGUGGGGAGCAAACAGG
rnacentral:rRNA from 1 species